rnacentral:rRNA from 1 species
UACGUAGGGACCAGGCGUUGUUCGGAUUUACUGGGCGUAAAGGGCGCGUAGGCGGCAAUUCAAGUCAGUUGUGAAAUCUCCGAGCUUAACUCGGAACGGUCAACUGAUACUGUCUUGCUAGAGUACAGAAGGGGCAAUCGGAAUUCUUGGUGUAGCGGUGAAAUGCGUAGAUAUCAAGAGGAACACCUGAGGUGAAGACGGGUUGCUGGGCUGAUACUGACGCUGAGGCGCGGAAAGCUAGGGUAGCAAACGGG